rnacentral:rRNA from 1 species
UACAGAGGUCUCAAGCGUUGUUCGGAUUCAUUGGGCGUAAAGGGUGUGUAGGUGGCGCGCUAAGUCGGGUGUGAAAUUUCGGAGCUUAACUCCGAAACUGCAUUCGAUACUGGCGUGCUUGAGGACUGGAGAGGAGACUGGAAUUCAUGGUGUAGCGGUGAAAUGCGUAGAUAUUGGGAGGAACACCGGUGGCGAAGGCGGCCCCCUGGACCGGUACUGACGCUGAGGCGCGAAAGCGUGGGUAGCAAACGGG